rnacentral:tRNA from 1 species
GGGCCCGUAGCUCAGCCAGGAUAGAGCGGCGGGCUUUUAACCCGUAGGCCGCGACGCCUAGCCGCGGGCGGAAGUCCCGGGUUCGAAUCCCGGCGGGCCCG